GCCUUGCAUGAGGACUGGAGAGGAGACUGGAAUUCACGGUGUAGCAGUGAAAUGCGUAGAGAUCGUGAGGAACACCAGUGGCGAAGGCGGGUCUCUGGACAGUUCCUGACACUGAGGCACGAAGGCCAGGGGAGCAAACGGGAUUAGAUACCCCGGUAGUCCUGGCAGUAAACGGUGCACGUUUGGUGUGGGGGGAUUCGACCCCUUCCGCGCCGGAGCUAACGCGUUAUACGUGCCGCCUGGGGAGUACGGUCGCAAGAUUAAAACUCAAAGAAAUUGACGGGGGCCCGCACAAGCGGUGGAGUAUGUGGCUAAAUUCGAUGCAACGCGAAGAACCUUACCAGGCCUUGACAUGCAUUUCUAAGUUGGUGAAAGCCAGCGAAUGUCGAAAGACAUAACUUGCACAGGUGCUGCAUGGCUGUCGUCAGCUCGUGUCGUGAGAUGUUGGGUCAAGUCCCGCAACGAGCGCAACCCCUGUGAACUGUUGCCACUCUCUAUAUUGGGAAGCACUCUGUUCAGACUGCCCACAGAGACGGGGAGGAAGGUGGGGACGACGUCAAGUCAGUAUGGCCCUUACGGCCUGGGCUGCACACGUACUACAAUGCUCAGCACAGAACGAUCCGAGACCGCGAGGUGGACGAAAUCUAGUAAACUGAGCUCAGUUCGGAUUGGAGGCUGCAACUCGCCUCCAUGAAGCUGGAAUCGCUAGUAAUGCCGU
rnacentral:rRNA from 1 species